ACACAUCUAUCUAUUUUCAUUUUUCAUUCAUAUAAAAUCCCUUAUUCACUCUCUCACUCACUCACUCACUAUUUCUUUGUUGUGUUUUAUACUGAAUUUCAAUAUAUGGGUGCUUGCGAUAUAGUGGCUAGUAACCUUACCAUAUUCUACCUAGCAAUAAUCGUGUGUCUUAAGAUUUAUGGGGUGUGCUAUAACUUUAUGUUUGUGUUGACUCUGUCCACAACCAUAUUGGCUUUUAUUUUUGUGGCAACCUUAAUUUGGGAUUUGUUCCAGAAGUUUAGUACUAAUCCUAGUUGUUGUGUAUUUGUCCCCGAACAAGAACAAGAACAACCUCGUACCAUGUCGUCCUGUAAAGGUGGAAUCUGUUGGCACGGCGUGGCGGACCACUAUCCGGCUUCAAAGAUGCGCUUGAAAAUUCCCCUCCGUCUUCCUCAUGAUACUUAGUAAAACUAUAUAUAUAUUUUCCAGGUUGUCUUGCAUUCUGGUUCCUAAGUUUGUGCUUAUAAAAGACUUUCUCCCUAACUACAUGGGCUGAGCAGUGGGCGGUUUCGGGCCAGAAAUGUCUCAUCUGUGUAAAACCGAUAGAGCAAUUUUGAGACCCAUUUCCGACCAUUCCACACUUCGGUUUCGACGGGUCAUGGGUUGUGCGGGUCACGGUUUUCUCGGAUGGUUAUGUUCGGGCCACAACUAUAAAAAAAAAAUUAAAAAAAUUACAGAAGAGAAGGUGAGAAUAUAAGUAGAAUAAGACACAAUCUUCUUCUCAAUAGUAGACUUAUUCCCAUCAAAAGCAAUUGAACCACCCUUGGGUGUCACAACAUCUUCACAGACACAAUAGUCAUCUUCAACCUUGAGAUCUAGAGAUUAUGUUAAGGGCAAAAAUAGAUUUCUCUUGAAAAGAGAGCAUGAACAGAACAGAGAGAAAUAAUGGAUUCCAUGGGUUUAAGCUUUUCCACGCUCUAUUUCUAAUUAAAAAGUAGGAGUAUAUUGGAUCUAUAUGUUCAUACUUGUGUUGUGGUGUAACCGAAAAAAUAUAUGAAUGCAGUAAAAUAAAUAAAAAAAAUAGUCUACUUUAUAUUAUGUAUGGAGUAAAAAUACUAGUAGUAGUACUUGGUAGUUGUGAGACAUUAUUAGGAGGCAGGAGAGACAGAUGUGCAGAGGCUGCAGUGCCACUUUGCAGUCUGCAUGUGCCUUGAACCACAUAUUUGAAAAUUGAAAAAAUAAAAGUGUAUAUAUAAGCAUGUUCGGUCGGGUUCAGUUAUAAGAAAAUAAAAUUAUAGGAACCGAGCCCGCCCACCCACUACUACUCAUGUGAAACUGAUUUUUACAGUUUGAAGACCCGCAUACCCGACUCGACCGACCCGAAAGUGUGAUUCUGAAUGCGGGUUUAUCAGUUUUCGGUCGGGUGCGGAUGAUAUAGCGGUUUCUAAUUGAUCCUAUUUCCGAGUUUUAAUUGCAUUCUAGUUCCAGAGUUUAGAGAGAUGAUGAUGUUUAUACAAGUCUAACUUUUUCUGAAUCUUCCACUAUAAGUCUAGCUUGAUUGUUAUUGUUUGUUGGUAAACGUUGAUGUAUUAACUUUUGUUAAUAAUGUUGUGGGUCUUUUUAA